ensembl:lncRNA
CUAGCUAACAGUUUCUGAGCCCCUCUCCAGGAUGGAGGCGGAGCCUCACUGCAGCUCAGCUCAUGUCACGGAAGGCGGAGCCAUCAAGGACCACAGCCAAUCAGCAGGCACGCUGGUGCAGCCACGGGCCAAUGGGGCAGCAGCACAUCACAGCUCAGAUGAAGCUCCGCCCACUCUGCCUCACCGGUCGGCGGAUGCCAGCAGCAGUGACGAGUCCCUGAUGGACAGCUCCUGCACCAAUGACGUGUCCCGCCUGCGAUCCGGGCAUCCGUCCUCUGGGACCUGCACACAGAAAGCCGCCGCCGGUUCUUCGGGGUCGUCUCCUCCCAUCUGUGCUCCUCCGUCUCCGUCCUUCAACCGCCUUGGUCCUCCUCCUCUUCCUCCUCCAUCUUCCUUGCGGUCGUCCACCUGUAGCGGGCAUCUUCAUCAUCAUCAUCAUCACCGCCAUGACCAACAGAGGACUAAUCAGAAGCGCCCGUCCUCUACUAAAAGCCACGCCUCCUUCAAGUUGGACGCCGCCCACAUCAAGGAGGCUGCUGGAGACGACUGCUGUGUCCGCUGUCUCCUGUCCUGCCUGUACUGCGAGCUGCUGUCCCUGUGCGCGGCGCUGGGGGAGUGCGUGGCGUGCGGAGUGGGCGGGGCCGGCUGCUGCGACUGCUGCUGCUGCUGCGUGGAGGCGGCGGCGGCGGCGUGCUCGGAGGAGGCGUGCCAGGCGGCGCUGGACUGCGGCGUGCUGGAGGGAGGCUGCGGCUCGUCCGACUGCCUGGAGGUCUGCCUGGAGUGCUGCGCCAUCUGCUUCCCCUCCUGACGGCCAAUCAGAGGCCGGCGCCACACAGACCAAAAGCGGUUUCAGCAUUUUGAUUUUCACUGAAGAAACAGUUUUAUUUCUAUUUGAAAUGAAGAAAUUUCACAUCAAAACAGAAACGGUUUGUUUUUCUGGUCUUUUUUUUUUGGCGACGAAGAAAACUUUUGCUAUAGUUCAACUGCCUGAUAAUAAAGCUACAGGUGCUGAUAAUAUCACUGCAGAGCGCCUGAAGUAUGCUACACCUGAAGCUGCUGUACUUCUGGCCUUAUGCUUCACUGGCUCCAUGAUCCAUGGGCUACUACCUGCCUCUCUAUUGUCUGUUACGCUCGUGCGUCAUUAAGGAUAAAGCUGGCAAAGUUGGGAGUGUGGAUGAUUACAGACCGAUAGCUUUAGCCUGUGUCUUAUCUAAAGUCCUUGAGAAAAUAUUGCUGGGUCGAAUGUGUCAAUGUAUAAGUACUACAGAUAAUCAGUUUGGAUUUAAAACAAAGAUGGGAACUGAUCUAUGCAUCUACAGCUUAAAAGACAGCACAGGUGUAUUUAAGACAAAAUUCCUCUGUGCUAGUAGGAUUUAUCGACGCGUCGAAAGCGUUUGACAGAGUGAACCACCGGAAGCUUUUUGAUAAAUUAAAACAAAGAAAGGUGCCUGAGACCGUAAUAAGGAUUUUGUCUCACUGGUACUCUAAUCAGAGGAUGCAGGUGAAUUGGGGAAGUACAAUCAGCCUCUUUUGGUGUCAGUAAUGCGGUGUGCCAGGGAGGGCUGCUGUCCCCGGUUUUAUUUAACCUCUACAUGGAUGAGUUGUCCCAGCGACUGAAUGACUGUAGAACAGGAUGCAUGAUUGGUAACACUCUGAUCAAUCAUUUCAUGUACGCUGACGAUCUGGCUAUUCUCUCUCCAAGCAGUGCUGGCUUUCAGCAACUUUUGAAUGUUUGUUCUGAUUAUGGACUCAAAUACAAUGUUCAGUAUAACGCCAAAAAGUCUGUUGUACUAAUCUGCCGGACUAAAGCAGACAAGAACCUUUGCUUUCCAGACUUUCUGUCCGACCAAAAGCUGAGUGUAUGCAGUCAAACAAAACAUCUGGGUCAUUUCAUAACAGACCGGCUCUGUGAUGAUGAUGACAUCGCUCGCCAAAGACGUGUACUGUACGCCCAGGCCAAUACAUUGGUUCGGAGAUUUCACAUGUGCACAGAAACCGUAAAAAUCAAACUUUUAGGACUUACUGUGCCCCCCUGUAUACAGCCCCUUUGUGGUGCAAUUAUAAGAAGAGUGCACUACAAAAGCUUAGGGUGGCCCAUAGCGAUGCUUUUCGUAUUUUACUGAAGAAGCCCAGGUCAAGCAGCGCAAGCCUGUUGUUCUGUCAGACUCACGUGAACCCUUUCCACGCUCUCAUGAGGAAUCUGAUGUAUAGAUUCAUGUGCCGUCUGAAUGACUGUAACAACACUCUUGUCCAGGCUGGUGACCCCCAGCAUUAGUGCUGUGCGUUAUCAGUCAGCUCUGUGGAAGCACUGGUACAAGUGCCUUUUAUGAUUGUUUGUGUACUGUCUGUUUUUCUUUCUUUUAGUGGGCCAAGAGCCUGUCAGAUAAAGAUAAUCUUUUCAGGAGUUUAAGAAUCUUUAGGAACGAUUUAUUCAAAUAAUCUGAGAGAAACUUGAACAAUCGACUUAAUAUUUAAUGAGCCCAAUUAAUUCAGAGGUGUCUCAUUUCAGGAAGGUGUGGCGUUUCCACGGCAACCUGAGAAAAGAUAACGUUACUUUGAUCUAAUCUAAAAGCCAGAACGGAUCCAUCAUUGAGAAAUCAAGCUGGAUUCAAACAAACUGACUAAAAGAAGAAAUAACAGAAAAAUAAAACUUUCAACAAAAUAAAUUGGUUUACUGUGAACAUGCCGACGUUUCCCAUCAUGCCUUUGGGUCCAGUGAUUGACAGCUCACCUGGGUGUGUGUGUGUGUGUGUGUGUGUGUGCAUGUGUGUGUAUGUGUGUGUGUGUG